AGGGCAAGCCCAAGUGCCCUUGAAAUGAUGGUGAUACCGAUCGGCCUUAAUUACGAAUUCAUAGUAAUGGAGCUAUAAAGAAUUAAUACCUAGAGUUUAUAAUUUAUUACAUGGUUGUUGUAGAGAUUUAUACUAUACAUUCAGCUUCAUGUAUAGAAGUUGGAAUAUCAAUGGAAUAAGUGAUGUACAUACUUCCUUUAAUUAGGAAGUGGACGGUUUGUCUCUUGCUCUCUGGUACUGGCAUGGCUAUUGGAUAUAUUAUAUAUGUAUCUACUGUAAUCUACUACUGUU
rnacentral:misc_RNA from 1 species